UUUUGUAACGGGUGCCAAUAGCUUAAGUUUGACCAAUAGUAUUGGAAGGGCUACGAAUAAAGUUCGCACUAUACCGAAGGUACAGUUAGAACUUGAUGGCCCGACUGUGGAUAAUAAUGGCCAGAGAAUUCAGUUAGAGAUUCCGAAAACGUCGUACAAAUCAACCCUUUUAGGGGCUUCAUCAAAGAAGAAUCAUGAUGGUUUUCUGGAAGAGGAUUUUACACUUUUGGAUGGUGAUGCUGUUACUGAAGUGAUUGAGGGUGUUCCGUCAAUUAUGUUCUCUAAUAAAGUGCAUGAGUAUAUCCAACGACAAAUGGCCAAGACAAUUAUUGUGAAAUUGCUGAAGGAAGGAUUUGUUUUAAUGUUUUGUUGAAUAAAAUAAAUUUACUGUGGAAUCCUCAAUGUCAGAUCCAACUCAUGGAUCUUGAGAAUUAUUUUUAUCUGGUUCGUUUACAGGAUGAAUCUGACUAUAAUAAGGUAUUAGUAGGAGGACCGUGGGUGAUUUUUGGCAGAUACCUAACUGUUUAGCCAUGGUCACCAAAUUUUACAACAAGUCAGAGUGGUUUUGAGUCGUAGGCUGUUUGGAUAAAGUUACCUGGACUGCCUGAAGGUUAUUAUUCAGAUUUCCUCAUAAGGGUGAUUGGUCAGACAGUAGGUCCGGUGGUGAAGCUAGAUGUUCAUACGGACUAUGCUCGUAGGGGACGAUUUGCGUGGUUAGCAGUUUGUGUUGAUUUGAGGAAGCUGUUGGUGUCGAAGGUUCGAAUUAAUGGUCGUCUUUAGUGUGUUGAAUACGAAGCUUUACCAAAUAUUUUCUUCCAAUGUGGUAUGUACGGACAUAUAGUGGACAUUUGUCCUAGGAUUGAGACAACUUCAUCAGUGGUGGAGUCAGGUUGUGCUUGACUAGUCAUGGAGAAAUUAGGUCUUGAAAAUAAGGUAAAGAAUGAACCCUAUGGGUCGUAGAUGGUGGUAGAGAGACGGAGAGGGCGUAAUCGGGAUUUCAGUAAGGGAAGAAACGACAUUUUUAGAGGUCUUGCUGGGGGAUCUCGCUUUGAGGCGUUGGGUGUUAAUGAGGGAGAGAUUUUCGCAAUGACUGACGAGAUUAAUGGGAAUGAUAAGGUAAUGGCUGAGGAGAAGACUAAUGGUGAGAGGGAUAUGGGGUUAGCGUUUCUAGGAAAAUGUAUUGAGACAAAAGAGAAGUAGGCCAAGCUAAAGGAUAAGGGGAAAAAAGUGGUGAUGGGGAGUGGGCCAAAGUCAACCUUAAAGGUUUUAAAGCCUAAUAAUGGAAGCCUGGGUAUGAAUAUGAAUAUUGGGAGGGGUGCUUUUGAUAAUGGAUAGAAAUUGGCCCAGUUGGGUGCCACUGACAAAGGGAAAGCUAUAGUGAUGGAAAAAGUGGAAAUUUCAACUAAUUUAAAUAAGAAGAAACAUACAACAAUUCGUAUUUUGAAGAAAGAAAAAAUGGGAGUUAAUAUUGACAAAGAGAAUGAGAUUUUUAUGUUUGGUAAAACGAGCUCUCCCGUAGAGCAACAGUUGCGUGCUAACACUGCUCGUUAUAAACAGCAAGAAAAACCACCUGAUGAGGCUCUUGGGAUCUAGGAGCAGCAAUCGGUUGAUCUCCAAUUAGCAAUAAAAGGGUUAGUUUGCGAGCUUGAAAGGAAUCCAUAAAAAGAUGUUAUGGUGUCAGAUUCUCAAGUUGUUGAGAAAGUUAUGAUUAUGGGCAACACUGAUGGUAUUGUGGUAAAUUGUCAAAAUUUAUUGUACUCCUAUUUCGGGUUUGGUUUAUAAAUUUCCUUAUUUUUAUGAAUACUAAAAUAAUUUAUUAGAAUUUCCAAGGAGUGUGACACCCUCGUUUUUAUUGUUUUGUUAAAGAAUUCAAGAAGGAGUUUUUGCUAGAUUUGUUUUAUCUAUUUGAAACCCAGGUGGUGCAUGUUAAAAUCCAUAGUACGAUGAGCUCGGAUCAUUUCUUUUGUUUUAUUAUCUAUGCUAGCCUUCAUGUUGCGAAGGGAAGGGAGUUGUGGCAUUUUCUCAGCUCUUUGGUUGUUUCGGUGGAGGAACAUUAGAUGCUUGCCGGUUAUUUCAAUGCUAUUCUUGAUGAAUGUGAAAGAAUAAGUGGGACUUCUAUUUUACAUGUAAGUUGCAAAUGAUUUAGAGAGUUUUUGUUCAACAA